UACGUAGGGUGCAAGCGUUAAUCGGAAUUACUGGGCGUAAAGCGUGCGCAGGCGGUUAUGUAAGACAGAUGUGAAAUGCCCGGGCUUAACCUGGGAACUGCAUUUGUGACUGCAUGGCUAGAGUUUGGCAGAGGGGGGUAGAAUUCCACGUGUAGCAGUGAAAUGCGUAGAUAUGUGGAGGAACACCGAUGGCGAAGGCAGCCCCCUGGGUCAAGACUGACGCUCCAUGCACGA
rnacentral:rRNA from 1 species